rnacentral:rRNA from 1 species
GAUGUACGCUGGCGGCGUGCCUAAUACAUGCAAGUCGAGCGAACAGAUGAGGAGCUUGCUCCUCUGACGUUAGCGGCGGACGGGUGAGUAACACGUGGAUAACCUACCUAUAAGACUGGGAUAACUUCGGGAAACCGGAGCUAAUACCGGAUAAUAUAUUGAACCGCAUGGUUCAAUAGUGAAAGACGGUUUUGCUGUCACUUAUAGAUGGAUCCGCGCCGCAUUAGCUAGUUGGUAAGGUAACGGCUUACCAAGGCAACGAUGCGUAGCCGACCUGAGAGGGUGAUCGGCCACACUGGAACUGAGACACGGUCCAGACUCCUACGGGAGGCAGCAGUAGGGAAUCUUCCGCAAUGGGCGAAAGCCUGACGGAGCAACGCCGCGUGAGUGAUGAAGGUCUUCGGAUCGUAAAACUCUGUUAUUAGGGAAGAACAAAUGUGUAAGUAACUAUGCACGUCUUGACGGUACCUAAUCAGAAAGCCACGGCUAACUACGUG